AUCUUCUGAAAACCACCUGUUCAUCAAUUCCACUAAAGGAUAAAGGGUAACAAAUUGCUUGCCUAGAACUAUUCAAAUGUAAUGGAAUUCUACCUAACUUCCAGCCUAUAGGAUUCAAAUUUAGGUUUAAUUUCUUAGGUACUGCAGCCCCGUUCAAUACCAUAUUCAUGAAAAAAAAAAUUUAGGAGAAAAUAAGCAUGACUUUGAGAGGUUUUCACUUUUCCAUAACUGCUGUCUGUGUGUUGUAUGUCCAAUUUUCACAGAGAUAAACAUGCUCACCCUCAAAAGAUUCACCAGCUGAGUUACCGGUGUUAAUGUGAGAGCAAUUGAGGAAUAUGAUGCAGAAACCGUCAAGUUGGCAAAAGCAAUGUUUAAAAAUGUGAUGCGUGAAGUUAUAGGUGGAAAUAUUUGACGGUGACAUUAGAAAAGAUAUCCAUAGGGUGUAAUUAGAAAGAUUAGGCCCCAUCAUUUUUCUGUUACUAACCCAGGAGGGGUUGCCAAAAAUCACAUUCAUUACCUCUCCCUCCCUAGGUGAGGCUAGCUGCUAGGGAUACAGAGCCUCUCUUGUUCAUAACUGAGUUACUGAUUUCCUGUUAACUCAGCUGACUCCUGGCUCCUAGAAGCAAAGUGUGAAUGCAGACACAAACGGGUUCAAUUUCCGAACAGGGAGCACAGAUAAAAUGGAAAUCAGUAGAUGACUAGGAAAAAAUAACGCUGUAUUAGUUCUUCUGUAUAUCUGUAUGUCCUUACAGAUAGCGAUGAAUCAUAAGCUCUUACAAAACAGAGAAUUGCUCUUUUUCUGGAUUGCUCCUGUACCGAAGGAAAAACUCUUAUCUGGGACCAGAACAGGUUGUGUCACAAGAAAGAAAGUGAAGAGGAGAGAGCUUGGCAGCAAUAACUUUUCAUGAGCAAUUGUACAGCAUCUGAAGUUGAACGUUUGAUGACAGCAAAUAUGGGCAGUUGCACAAAAUGGGAAUGAACACAGAAUCACAAGACUAAUUAUUGCUUUGUCAUUGUCACCUAAAGGCCCAGACCAGGAGCCUUAUCAGAGACCAUUACUGGCAUUAGCUGGAGGUUGCCCUAGAUGGUGCUUUAUUUAUAUACAUUCUCUCCCUUGGCCCGUUGAAUGUAUUCCUCCCACUUCUAAAGCCAGCACCCGCAUCUCUGUGCCCGAGGCUCUUUCUCCAGGACUAAGAGAAAGUAAACUGCUGACCAAGCUACAGACCAGAAGUGUCAAGGAAUGAACCCACCUCACCUGUCACCAAAUACACACUCAACAAUGACUGUCAAGAGUUAAUCUAUGAAUCCCCCAGCUCCCUCCUGCAUGAGCUGGGAUAAUUUCGAGCUAUGUGCUUUGCAUGGAUCCCAAUUUCCCUGUGGCUUAAUAACUCUACCUUCUCUUUCCUGUACAGCAGGCCUUUCUCUCCUGGAGUUGCCUGCACUUACUUAAUAAAGUAUUUUCACUUAAAUCCUCUCAGCAUCUGCAUCUGGAAGGACCCACGUUAAGACUCUACAUAUCCGAUGGCUAUUUUACAACAUGAGCAAGAGACAUUCUCAAAAAUAGAUAAUACUGCUAAGGGACAUGGUUAUUUUAAAAAGUCUCAUUUUUACCACACUCAGGCCCUCAAGAGGCCACUUGAAUGAGCAUGUCACAGUCUCUUACAACUGCUUGUCCUUGCCAUUUAGCCCUCCUAAAAUGCUGUCUUCCAUCUUCUCAGCCAAUCUAUGUCUAAAUCAUUCUAGGAGCUACACUGAAACUUAACAAUACCAUUCUCUAGGACUGUGGUUCUCAAAGUGAGGUCCCAGGCCUGGCAGCAUUUGGAUCACCUGGCAACUCAUGAGAAAUGCAAAUUCUUGGGCCCCAACCCAGACUAUGGAAUCUGUACUCUCAGGUAGGGUCCAGCAAUCUCUAUUUUAACAAGUCCGCCAAGUGAUCAGGAUCACAAUAACUUUUGGGAACCACUGCUCCAGGAAGUCUUUCCUGUUACCCCCAAUUUGACAGUAGAAAGCCCUACUAACCCCAGCUCCCUACCAUCUUCCACAUUUACUCAGUCAACAUCAACUCUCAGCGCUACCUCCUGAUGAUCUCUCACUCCACGUCUAGUCUUCUCCUCCGUUGCCACUGCUUUGAUGCAGACCAAUCAAUAUUUCUCACCUGAAUUAUCAAUACAGCCUCCCGACUAGUCUCCCUGAAUCCAGGCUUCCAAGCUAAUCUCCAUCAGCUGGUGGCCUUUUCUAUCUAAAUGCAGGUGUGUGAUGUGUUAAGUUCCUUGAGUGCUUCAAGGAGUACCUGAAAUAUCCCCAACACAGGUUCAUUCCUUAGGAUCCUAUAGGCCCCCCGGUGCCCCUCCUUAAACAAGCAAUAGGUAUGUGAGGAGCAGCUCUUCAAGGCAAUGUCAGAUCUUGAAGGGGGUCAUACCCACUAGCAAUUUAGGGUGCAGCAGAGAAGAGAGAGUGAAGGACGGAGGGUGCUAAAGAUAGACCUUUCUCUUCUUUAACACUUUUUCUGCAGGGUAUUUCUCACCCCUUGGGGCCUAGCUACGCAGGCCACCUGGCUUCUUCCCCUACCAUCCCUGGCUCUAGGACAUCCGAUGUUCCCAAACUCUUUGAGAUGAACUUCUCUGUAAACUAGAUGUAAAUAUUUGCCUUUUCUAUCACAAGGGACUAGUGAUGGAAAAUUAGAAAACAUUUAUAACAGGUUUUGAAAGAUUUUUCAUACAAAAGCAAGGAGCCCAAACUCAUAACCACUGUGUGCUACUACCUCCCAUGUCUGUGACUAUGUGUAUGACAUUAUUCGAAGGACCCAACAUAUUCUUGAGCAGGCCAGUCGAGCUCACUGUACAGGGGCCGAUCUAUGGCUCUAUUGUCCAUUCCUUCAUCUACUCACUCACUUUUCAUCCAUCCAUCAAUCAUCCUCCAUACAUUAUCCUCUUAGGGGGACUGCUAUGGUCUGAAUGUUUAUGUUCCCCCCCAAAUUCACAUGUAGAAACCUAAUCCUCAAUGUAUGGGUAUUUGGAGGUGGGGCUUGGGAGUUGAUUAAGUCAUGAGGCCUUCAUGAAUGGCAUGAGUACCAUUUAUAAAAGAGGCCCAAGAGAAGUCCCUUGCCCCUUCUGCCGUGUGAGCUCAGAUCAAAAAGAUGGCCGUCUAUGAACCAGGAAGCAAAACCUCAG